GACGAACGCUGGCGGCGUGCUUAACACAUGCAAGUCGAACGGAAAGGCCCUGCUUUUGUGGGGUGCUCGAGUGGCGAACGGGUGAGUAACACGUGAGUAACCUGCCCUUGACUUUGGGAUAACUUCAGGAAACUGGGGCUAAUACCGGAUAGGAGCUCCUGCUGCAUGGUGGGGGUUGGAAAGUUUCGGCGGUUGGGGAUGGACUCGCGGCUUAUCAGCUUGUUGGUGGGGUAGUGGCUUACCAAGGCUUUGACGGGUAGCCGGCCUGAGAGGGUGACCGGCCACAUGGGGACGGAGAUACGGCCCAGACUCCUACGGGAGGCAGCGGUGGGGAAUAUUGCACAAGGGGCGGAAGCCUGAGGCGGCAACGCCGCGUGCGGGAUGACGGCCUUCGGGUUGUAAACCGCUUUCGCCUGUGACGAAGCGUGAGUGACGGUAAUGGGUAAAGAAGCACCGGCUAAUUACGU
rnacentral:rRNA from 1 species